AUUGAACGCUGGCGGCAUGCCUUACACAUGCAAGUCGAACGGCAGCACGGGAGCAAUCCUGGUUGCGCGUGGCGAACGGGUGAGUAAUACACCGGAACGUGCUCAGCAGUGGGGGAUAACCCGGCGAAAGCCGGACUAAUACCGCAUACGACCUACGGGUGAAACCGGGGGAUCGCAAGACCUUUUGCUAUCGUAGCGGUCGAUGUCAGAUUUGCUAGUUGGUGGGGUAAAGGCCUACUUAGGCGACGAUCUGUAGCUGGUCUGAGAGGACGACCAGCCACACGAGGAGUGAGACACGGACCAGAGUACUACGGGAGGCAGCAGUGGGGAAUGUUAGACAGUGGGCGCAAGCAUGAUACAGCGAGGCGACGUGCGAGAAAAAAACCUUCGGGUUGUAAACCGGUUUUGUCAGGGAAGAAACGCUCCGGGCUAAUACCAAGGAGUAAUGACGGUAACUGAAGAAUAAGCACCGGCUAACUACGUG
rnacentral:rRNA from 1 species